rnacentral:rRNA from 1 species
AGAGUUUGAUCCUGGCUCAGAUUGAACGCUGGCGGCAGGCCUAACACAUGCAAGUCGAGCGGAUGAGAGGAGCUUGCUCCUUGAUUUAGCGGCGGACGGGUGAGUAAUGCCUAGGAAUCUGCCUGGUAGUGGGGGAUAACGUUCCGAAAGGAACGCUAAUACCGCAUACGUCCUACGGGAGAAAGCAGGGGACCUUCGGGCCUUGCGCUAUCAGAUGAGCCUAGGUCGGAUUAGCUAGUUGGUGAGGUAAUGGCUCACCAAGGCGACGAUCCGUAACUGGUCUGAGAGGAUGAUCAGUCACACUGGAACUGAGACACGGUCCAGACUCCUACGGGAGGCAGCAGUGGGGAAUAUUGGACAAUGGGCGAAAGCCUGAUCCAGCCAUGCCGCGUGUGUGAAGAAGGUCUUCGGAUUGUAAAGCACUUUAAGUUGGGAGGAAGGGCAUUAACCUAAUACGUUAGUGUUUUGACGUUACCGACAGAAUAAGCACCGGCUAACUUCGUGCCAGCAGCCGCGGUAAUACGAAGGGUGCAAGCGUUAAUCGGAAUUACUGGGCGUAAAGCGCGCGUAGGUGGUUCGUUAAGUUGGAUGUGAAAGCCCCGGGCUCAACCUGGGAACUGCAUCCAAAACUGGCGAGCUAGAGUACGGUAGAGGGUGGUGGAAUUUCCUGUGUAGCGGUGAAAUGCGUAGAUAUAGGAAGGAACACCAGUGGCGAAGGCGACCACCUGGACUGAUACUGACACUGAGGUGCGAAAGCGUGGGGAGCAAACAGGAUUAGAUACCCUGGUAGUCCACGCCGU